CAUGCCAAUGGCACUGCCCGGUAGCUAAAUGCGGAAGAGAUAAGUGCUGAAAGCAUCUAAGCACGAAACUUGCCCCGAGAUGAGUUCUCCCUGAGACUUAAAGUCUCCUGAAGGAACGUUAAAGACGAUGACGUUGAUAGGUCGGGUGUGUAAGCGCAGCGAUGCGUUGAGCUAACCGAUACUAAUGAACCGUGAGGCUUAACCUUACAACGCCGAAG
rnacentral:rRNA from 1 species